rnacentral:rRNA from 1 species
GGUUCGAUCAUGGCUCAGAUUGAACGCUGGCGGGAUGCUUUACAUGCAAGUCGAACGGCAGCACGGACUUCAGUCCCCGGUGCUGAUGGCGAACGGGUGAGUAAUGUAUCGGAACAUGCCUAGUAGCGGGGGAUAACUACGCGAAAGCGUAGCUAAUACCGCAUACGCCCUUCGGGGAAAGCGGGGGACCUUCGGGCCUCGCACUAUUGAAGCGGCCAGCUAUGGAUUAGCUAGUUGGUGGGGUAACGGCUCACCAAGGCGACGAUCCGUAGCUGGUUUGAAGGGACGACCAGCCACACUGGGACUGAGACACGGCCCAGACUCCUACGGGAGGCAGCAGUGGGAAUUUUGGACAAUGGGGAAACCUGAUCCCAGCCAUCCCGCGUGUGCGAUGAAGGCCUUCGGGUUGUAAAGCACUUUUUGGCAGGAAGAAACGGCACGGGAUAAUACCCCGUGCAACUGACGACACCUGCAGAAUAAGCACCGGUAGCACGAUACAUGGCCGCUUGAUAAUACGCAGGUGCAAGCGUUAAUCGGAAUUACUGGGCGUAAAGCGUGCGCAGGCGGUUCGGAAGAAAAGAUGUGAAAUCCCAGAGCUUAACUUUGGAACUGCAUUUUUAACUACCGAGCUAGAGUGUGUCAGAGGGAGGUGGAAUUCCGCGUGUAGCAGUGAAAUGCGUAGAUGCGGAGGAACACCGAUGGCGAGAGGCAACCUCCUGGGAUAACACUGACGCUCAUGCACGAAAAGCGUGGGAGCAAACAGGAUUAGAUACCCUGGUAGUCCACGCCCUAAACAAUGUCAACUAGCUGUUGGGGCCUUCCGGGCCUUGGUAGCGCAACUAACGCGUGAAGUUGACCGCCUGGGAGGCUACGGUCGCAAGAUUAAAACUCUGGCAAGGAAUUGACGGGGACCCGCACAAGCGGUGGAUGAUGUGGAUUAAUUCGAUGCAACGCGAAAAACCUUACCUACCCUCGACAUGUCUGGAAUCGAAGAGAUUUGGGAGUGCUCGCAAGAGAACCGGAACACAGGUGCUGCAUGGCUGUCGUCGAGCUCGAUGUCGUGAGAUGUUGGGUUAAGUCCCGCAACGAGCGCAACCCUUGUCAUUAGUUGCUACGAAAGGGCACUCUAAUGAGACUGCCGGUGACAAACCGGAGGAAGGUGGGGAUGACGUCAAGUCCUGUGGCCCUUAUGGGUAGGGCUUCACACGUCAUACAAUGGUCGGGACAGAGGGGUCAUCUUCUUCCCGCGAGGGAGCCAAUCCCAGAAACCCGAUCGUAGUCCGGAUCGCAGUCUGCAACUCGACUGCGUGAAGUCGGAAUCGCUAGUAAUCGCGGAUCAGCAUGUCGCGGUGAAUACGUUCCCGGGUCUUGUACACACCGCCGUCACACCAUGGGAGUGGGUUUUUACAAGAAGUAGUUAGCCCUGGCCGUAAGGGGAGGGCGAUUACCACAUUAGGAUUCAUGACUGGGGUGAAGUCAUGGCUGGGUAA